ACGGCUCAGUAACACGUGGCUAACCUACCCCUUAGGACGGGGACAACCCCGGGAAACUGGGGCUAACAUCUGAUAGGUGAGGAGGCCUGGAAUGGUUCCUCCCUGAAAAGGCGUUGAAACCAUGCUUUUCAGCGUCGCCUAAGGAUGGGGCCGCGCCCGAUCAGGUUGUUGGUGGGGUAACGGCUCACCAAGCCAUUAACCGGUACGGGCCGUGAGAGCGGGAGCCCGGAGACGGGCACUGAGACAAGGGCCCAGGCCCUACGGGGCGCAGCAGUCGCGAAAACUCCGCAAUGCGCGAAAGCGUGACGGGGCUACCCCGAGUGCCGUCCGCUGAGGAUGGCUUUUCCCCGGUGUAAUGAGCCGGGGGAAUAAGGAGAGGGCAAGACUGGUGUCAGCCGCCGCGGUAAUACCAGCUCUCCGAGUGGUAGGGACAAUUAUUGGGCUUAAAGCGUCCGUAGCCGGCUUGGCAAGUCUCCUGUUAAAUUCAGCGACUUAAUCGUUGAGCCGCGGGAGAUACUACUAGGCUAGGAGGCGGGAGAGGCCGACGGUAUUCCCGGGGUAGGGGUGAAAUCCUAUAAUCCCGGGAGGACCACCAGUGGCGAAGGCUGUCGGCUAGAACGCGCUCGACGGUGAGGGACGAAAGCUGGGGGAGCGAACCGGAUUAGAUACCCGGGUAGUCCCAGCCGUAAACGAUGCGGGCUAGGUGUUGAGGUGGCUACGAGCCACUUCAGUGCCGCAGGGAAGCCAUUAAGCCCGCCGCCUGGGGAGUACGGCCGCAAGGCUGGAACUUAAAGGAAUUGGCGGGGGAG
rnacentral:rRNA from 1 species